ACCAGCCAAAACAAACAGAGAUAGAGGUAAGCAUUCAUCGUGAUCAAUGUCGUGCAUAUGCCGCUGUUCAGGGUUGUACAUGGAGUCCUAAUUACCGGCUAUGACACCGCCACGCCGUGAAGACCAUAUGCUGCAGUCAGCCUUGUCUUUGUCUCCAACGACGGUACGAUUUCACGCCUACGGUUCGCCACCGUCAUAGAAUCCUUUUUUUGCACCGCGUCACGGACCAUAGGGGUCACCUGAGCGCUAGAUCGGGGUGGCGUUUGCUAGCAAUAGCCGCAGCCGGGUGGAUGCAGUUCUGCCGGGGCGGACGCCGAGAGAGAUAGGAGAGAGAAUGAGAGGCAAGAGCGCGAGAGGUUGAAGAUGGUCCGGGUACCAUCCAUCUCGUGAUGGGCGUCUAUGAUUAAAAGCGAACAUACCCUUCGCCUCAUAAAAUCCGGGCCUUGCGAUGGAAUCUGGGUGGGUCAGAUUAGGUGUGUGGCGUGGCCAAUCCUAGAUCGUUAGUCGCAAAUCCAACAUGCACGAUUGCGUACCGGUUCGGAGUUAUGCGGAUCUAAUCUGGGCCGCACGCCGUUGAUCCAACGGCUGGGAUAGACACGUACCCCUUCGCUGUGUAGAUUUUACAUAAGAAAGUCUGUGCUUUUAUAUAAUUAACAUGCCAUCCUCUGUAGUAGUGAUAUUAUUACAUUCAGGUCCUCAACUUUAUACAUUUGACCCUUUUCUUUCAGGAAUUUAUGCCUGAAGUCCAAAUCAAUCUCAGAUUUAAUAAAAUAAACCAGAAAAAUAAUUUUUAGUAUAGAAAUAAUUUCAGAAACUUGUUUAAUUCAUAACUAAUCAUUUUAACUCUAUUUUAGUUCGUUCCAGUUGUGUUGGCUUUGUAAUAAAAUUUUCUACACAGUAGCGAACCUUAUUUUUAUAUAUAUCACAUAUUGUUAUAACUAGAUAUUGAUUUACCCUUUGCGUAGUACAUUUAUUUUACUAAUCAAGGUUGAUAGGUCUAUAAUUAUAAUUAGACUAAAAUAAGAUUGCUAACCAAGAUAUAAUCUAGAUUAAAGUGGAAUUGAUUAUUUAGAGUACAUUUACUCAUAUGAUGAAUAUUAACCAAUUUUAAUGUAUUAAUAUUCCAUCAUGUAGACAUUCCGAAAACCAUAUCUGUUCCACUGUAGCUCCGAAUUUAGUGGUUCUCGAACCUAGGAUCUAGUUAUGAUGCGUAGAACAUUAUUAUGUAGUUUGUUCUUAUGUUUGGUGUGAUGUAUACCAUGUUUGUUUGUAUUGCUAUGAUUAGCAGCGAGGUUACGAGAAUCUUGAAGAACAAGUUGGUACCUGGAAUCUCGAGUCUAAGGCAUGUUGUGCCCUUGAUCACUUUUCUUUCCCCAAAAAUGUUGUUGUUAAUCACUGUGACAUGCUCAGGUUAAUCUGAUGGGACCUAAUAGGUUUCCCUAGGCUUGUUUAUCUCACACCUUGUUUACCACUGAACUUUUGGGUAGUUAUGCUAUUGCUCUACUUGGUUUUGGGAUUAAUAUUACAUUAUGAUCAUGUUCCAAUUAUGUUGUUGUUUAAUUAUUGUUCAUGACAAGAUCAUUGUGUUAAUUGGAACAUUGAGCUUAACUUGAGAAACACGUGCUACCAAAGCGUAGAAUGGGACGCCCUUGACUGACUAAUUAGGAAAGCUAGUGGAGGACUACCUUACCCGAAAGGGGCAAGAUGAGGGAUUCCUAUAUUGCCCUUCCUAGAAACUGUAGCGGGUUUUCUGAAGCUAGUGGAACUUUGUAAAGGCCUCGUAGUGGAUCCCUAGUCAUUCACCUCGGAAGUGUCUAAGGGUCUAGCUAACCCUGGCUAGGUGGGAUACACGACUUGUGGGUAAAGGGCGCAACCUCUGCAUAGUGUAAAACUGGUAUAUCAGUCGUGCACAGGGUCAUGAGCAGCUCAGGACUCUCGCAUGAUUAAUUUAUGGAACUAAACUUAAUAUGCCAUAUGCAAUGCAUCGCAGGUGUCACUAUCAAUUUUGAUCUCUUACUUAAUUGGGUUGGUAUCUACUUGUACCUAGUAACUACUAAUAAAAUUUUGACCCACUUUAAAAGCAACGCUCAGCUUUAACCAUCUCCUUUGGUAAGCCUUACACUUCACAUGAGCUCCCACCUUUGGUGAGUUCAUGCACCUUAUUCCCCACAACUUGUUGAGCGAUGAACGUAUGUGAGUUCACCUUGUUGUACUCACAUCCUCCCAGGUCAAGAAUAGGUACCACUGGAUGAGGCGCGUGAAGGAUGUCAUGAUGAGUUCGUCAAUGGUCUAGGCCGUCGUCUCCCAGUCAACUUUGUGUUGCUGGAUCGUUGUCUUCUCAUGAUGUAAUCAUUUAACUAUUUUGUACAGAACUCUGUUAU
rnacentral:lncRNA from 1 species